rnacentral:rRNA from 1 species
UACUAGAGUAGCACUCGCAUAUCAAUAAGCGGAGGAAAAGAAACUAACAAGGAUUCCCCUAGUAACGGCGAGUGAAGCGGGAAGAGCUCAAAUUUGAAAUCUUAAAGGGUUUCCCUUUACGAAUUGUAGUUUAAAGAAGUGUUUUCUGUUGAGGUUUUGGUAAAAGUUCUUUGGAAUAGGACAUCAUAGAGGGUGAGAAUCCCGUAUUUGACCUUUACUUUCAACUUUGUGAUACACUUUCAAAGAGUCGGAUUGUUUGGGAAUGCAGUCCAAAAUGGGUGGUAAAUUUCAUCUAAAGCUAAAUAUUGGCGAGAGACCGAUAGCGAACAAGUACCGUGAGGGAAAGAUGAAAAGAAACUAUCUGAAAAGAGAGUUAAACAGUACGUGAAAUUGUCAAAAGGGAAGCGUUUGACACCAGUGUUGUUUUUCUGAAAAUCAAUUAAAGAACUGUUUAUGCUAAGCUGUUUAGACUUUAUCAGCUAUCUGUUUAGUUUUGAGCUUUUCUUUAAUGCACUUUUCAGUUAACAAGUCAACAUCAAUUUCUUUUGCUGUAAAAAAGCUUGAGGAAGGUGGCUUGAGAUUCGUCUUAAGUGUUUAUAGCCUCUUGCCUAUGCAGUCGGAGAGAUUGAGGUCUGCAGCGUAGAUCCUUCGGGGCUAAAUGCAUUUGUGCUAAGUUAUAGCAUUUUAUAGACAACUUGUUGACUAUGAUUUGUCUUGUAGCUUACUCGCUUAUGUUAUUUUACCUACGCUUAGGAUGUUGAUCUACAGAGCGAGAGU